CAGAAAAUGUGCAAGCGCCCUCGAGAAGGCCAUCAGGACGGACAUAGAGCCCCUUGAAGUAAUAGAAAUCGGACGAGUAAGGAGAAAGCUGCUUAGCGGGCCGUCAGCAACAGCGUACCGUCACAAGGACGCGGACUUGAACACUUUCAUGCAGUACGUGACUGACUUCAAGGCCUACGUGGACGAAGAGAGGCAACGCAUAAACAUCAUACCCGAAACAAGUAUAACC
rnacentral:lncRNA from 1 species